UCAAUUUUGUCUCACAAAAGUCAAUUUUUGUGAGACAAAAUUCAAUUUUGUCAAUUGUGUCUCACAAAAGUCAAUUUUUGUGAGACAAAAUU
rnacentral:sRNA from 1 species